CAAAGCAGAAGUGGAAAAUGGGAAAACUGAGAUUCUCAUGUAUUUUCAAGUCUCAGUUGGCUAACGUGAGAAGAAAAAUUUGAAUACGACAAGACUACUCUGACAUUUUAGAGAAUUUUCCUAUUAGGAAUUGGAUAAACGGAAGUAAUGUGCCUGUGCUGUUUUGUGUACGUGGGUUAUUGACAGUCACUGCAAGUGCAUGACUGAGAUAGGUUCGAUGCCCUAAAACAGAAGCUUCAGAAGUGGUGUUGGCUGAUGCAGAGGCAGUCAUUCUGUUCUGACCAUGUGCCACUGAAGGAAAGGAAGGAAAUGGCUCUGGGCAAGAUAUCCAUACCUGUUGUAGCAGAAGUCCAAGAGGUAGUGACCUCUGCUGCAGAUAAAGUCUGUUUCAGAGUGCUACUAAUGCUACGGGCAGAGUGGGAAAAACACGGAGUUGACCCUAAUGGCAAACUAAAGAGAAAGCAGUGCAGAUGGAAAGUGCAGUGCCAAAAGAUGCUUUCAGGAGCCACCAGGAGGAACAGGGAAGACCUGCCUGCUGCCCCACAGGAGCAAACGUCUACACAGAGCCACCAUGGGAUCAGCCUGCAAAAGUACUCUGCUUGAAAAUGUAGCCUAGAUGCUGCACUGGCUACAAACUGAAGGAUACAAGUGACAUGAACAGCAAAGAAAAAUUCGCUUAAUGGUGAAAAUACCAGCAAUAACACAGUAAAAUGAAUUUCCUAUAGCAUAUCAUGACCUUAUGACCUGCUGGAUUCCUGCCAGUGAAGAGGAUACUUUUGCUACUUCAGAUUGCUUCAUUCUGCUAUCCCAGAAAACACAGAAUUAUUGUGGAAAUGCGAAGAAACAAACCAUAUAAUUAGAUUUGGUUGUAUAUGUGUUUAGGCUACUUCUCUGCUGAAGAUGUGUUGUAUUUACAAGUUGUACCAUUUAAUGCAACUGCAAUUACCUGCAGUUGCCACAUUUAACCUGUGAAAAAUAAAUAGGAUUUGUCAGUAUUCCCUCUCUUCCUCUUUACUCCCUGAAGCAAUGAAGAGCUGCUUUCCAGCCUCUUUCACAGCAUGGUUCAGAAAUAGCAGAAGGCAGCAGCAGCAGCAGAGCAAAGCCUCUAGAGUUUGGGGUGUAAUGGUCUUUGCUGAAAGGCUGAUUUCC
ensembl:lncRNA